rnacentral:rRNA from 1 species
UUGAAAGGGAAACGAUUGAAGUCAGUCGUACCUGUGGGUAAUCAGCCUUUUGGGUGUGAUUUUGUGGAGUGUGAGGAGUUAAACGCCUUCAUGCCUGCAUAUUCGUGCACUUUGGGUGUAUUUACCCGUGUGGUAAGUUAACAUCAAUUUCGGUGGUCAUAAAAUGGCUGGAGGAAUGUAGCUUUGAUCUCGUAUUGAAGUGUUAUAGCCUUCGGUAGAUGUGAUAAUCGGGAUUGAGGAUUGCAACGGAUACCCCUCGGGGCUACCUGUCUGAUCUCUGAUCGUUGCUCUGGUGCCGAAAGCUUGCUUACGGUUAUCAAAGUCGAUGGUCAAUAGGUUAGAAUGGGUUAAAUUCGUUAAGGAUGUUGACGUA